GAAUGAGAGCAACAAGAAGAAAAAAAAGAAGAAAAGGAAGAAAGCACUCUCAUCCCACGGGACAUGGUGCCGUUUUCUUCUUUCCUUUCUUUUGUUCUCUUU
rnacentral:ribozyme from 13 species